CUUUCACCCUGCUGGGAACAAGAUUGAUGAGGAAGAAUUUGUUAGUAGAAAUGAUCCUAGUGGUGAUGGGAAUGGCAUUGCUGCUGAUGAAGCAGCAAACAUCACAUGGGGCAGCAUUUCAGAUGUAUUGGAUUCUCAAGAUCAGAAAAGAUCAAAUAUGCUAAUAAAAAGAUUUCAGGAGAUUUUCUGGAGAAAGCAUGGGGAUGGGAAAGGUUGGUGCUACUCCGCACUUCCGUUGUGUCGUCUGAUUGUAGCCACUACCUUGAGGAGUAUUAUAAUCGCAAUGCUUCUAAGUUCGUUGCAGAAGUGGCUGCCAAUCUGAAUCCUGAUUGGUUGCUGGAUUCUGCUGACCCAGCUGUUACCAAAUCUCAAGCUUGCAAGCAGCAUUUGUAGCAAUGGUCCGUCAACCAGCAAUCCAGCAUAUCUUGAUCUGCUUCUUGUUACGAAAAUGUUGCCCUUGAAGGCUUGAACGGUGAGCUUUUGUCAACUGGUCCAGUGUAGGAGUGAUUGCACGACAUAAAGAGUCCAUUCAUGAACCCAAGUACUCUUACGUGC